GAGGAAAAGAAACUAACAAGGAUUCCCCUAGUAACGGCGAGUGAAGAGGGAAGAGCUCAAAUUUGAAAGCUGGUACCUUCGGUAUCCGCGUUGUAACCUCGAGACACGUUUUCCGUGCGGCGCUAUGGACAAGUUCCUUGGAACAGGACAUCGUAGAGGGUGAAAAUCCCGUACUUGCCAUGGAUGUACCGUGCUUUGCGAUACGUGCUCUAAGAGUCGAGUUGUUUGGGAUUGCAGCUCAAAAUGGGUGGUAGACUCCAUCUAAAGCUAAAUAUCGGGGAGAGACCGAUAGCGAACAAGUACCGUGAGGGAAAGAUGAAAAGCACUUUGGAAAGAGAGUUAAAAGUACGUGAAAUUGUCGAAAGGGAAGCGCUUGAAGUCAGCCAUGCCGCUCAGGACUCAGCCUGGCUUUUGCUUGGUGUAUUUCCUGGGUAGCAAGUCAGCAUUGGUUUGGAUCGUCGGAGAAGCAUAGUCGGAAUGUGGCGCCCUCGGGCGUGUUAUAGCCUUCUAUUGGAUACGACGAUCUAGACCAAGGAACGCAGCGCGCCUUAUGGCGGGUCUUC
rnacentral:rRNA from 1 species